AACGUAGGGGGCUAGCGUUGUCCGGAAUUACUGGGCGUAAAGCGCACGCAGGCGGUCUGGAAAGCGGUGGGUGCAAUCUCGAGGCUCAACCUCGAAACUGCUCGCCGAACUACCAGACUUGAGCACGGGAGAGGACAGUGGAAUUCCCGGUGUAGCGGUGGAAUGCGUAAAUAUCGGGAGGAACACCAGUGGCGAAGGCUGCUGUCUGGAACGUUGCUGACGCUGAGGUGCGAAAGCCAGGGGAGCGAACGGGAUUAGAUACCCCCGUAGUCCCUGA
rnacentral:rRNA from 1 species